GUGGUAACGGCAUACCAAGGCAACGAUCAGUAGCCGAGCUGAGAGGCUCAACGGCCACAUUGGGACUGAGAUACGGCCCAGACUCCUACGGGAGGCAGCAGUCGGGAAUAUUGCACAAUGGAGGAAACUCUGAUGCAGUGACGCCGCGUGCAGGAAGAAGGUUUUCGGAUUGUAAACUGCUUUAGACAGGGAAGAAGAAAGACAGUACCUGUAGAAUAAGCUCCGGCUAACUAC
rnacentral:rRNA from 1 species